rnacentral:rRNA from 1 species
UACGUAGGGUGCGAGCGUUAAUCGGAAUUACUGGGCGUAAAGCGUGCGCAGGCGGUCUGUUAAGACAGAUGUGAAAUCCCCCGGGCUUAACCUGGGAACUGCAUUUGUGACUGGCAGGCUAGAGUAUGGCAGAGGGGGGUAGAAUUCCACGUGUAGCAGUGAAAUGCGUAGAGAUGUGGAGGAAUACCGAUGGCGAAGGCAGCCCCCUGGGCCAAUACUGACGCUCAUGCACGAAAGCGUGGGGGAGCAAACAGGG